rnacentral:rRNA from 2 species
UGGUGGGUAGUUUGACUGGGGCGGUCUCCUCCUAAAGAGUAACGGAGGAGCACGAAGGUUGGCUAAUCCUGGUCGGACAUCAGGAGGUUAGUGCAAUGGCAUAAGCCAGCUUGACUGCGAGCGUGACGGCGCGAGCAGGUGCGAAAGCAGGUCAUAGUGAUCCGGUGGUUCUGAAUGGAAGGGCCAUCGCUCAACGGAUAAAAGGUACUCCGGGGAUAACAGGCUGAUACCGCCCAAGAGUUCAUAUCGACGGCGGUGUUUGGCACCUCGAUGUCGGCUCAUCACAUCCUGGGGCUGAAGUAGGUCCCAAGGGUAUGGCUGUUCGCCAUUUAAAGUGGUACGCGAGCUGGGUUUAGAACGUCGUGAGACAGUUCGGUCCCUAUCUGCCGUGGGCGCUGGA